ensembl:lncRNA
AAAGAAUAAAGCUUCUGUAAGGAGAUUACAAUAAACAAAUGUUUGGAACAUUACAGACCUUAAUGAUGGAUUUCAGCACAGCCAAGCAGCAUGACUGGAAUUAAGUGGCAGAUUACACUAAAGCUAAUAAUUACAUCGAAGAAACCCAAACUACAAUGUAUCUACAAGUGGAAUGACCUGUUGUUGUUAGCAUUAGUUUUCUCAAGCAAUAGGGAUGAGGUACAGCACUGUUAAAUCUAAUAGGAGUAGGAGGUAUGCCAAAAUGAUUUCUGUGCUAAGCCUUUCUUCUGCCCUCUUAAUUUGGAGCUGCUUUGUCAGCCAGUCUGCAAGCAGCAGUAUUUUGUGCAGUUUCUUCCAUCUCCAUCCUUUGGUAAUUGCCUUCACUACGAUCCUUACCUGUA